rnacentral:rRNA from 1 species
AGUCGAACGGCAGCACGGGGCAACCUGGUGGCGAGUGGCGAACGGGUGAGUAAUAUAUCGGAACGUACCCAGAAGUGGGGGAUAACGUAGCGAAAGUUACGCUAAUACCGCAUACGAUCUACGGAUGAAAGUGGGGGAUCGCAAGACCUCAUGCUUUUGGAGCGGCCGAUAUCUGAUUAGCUAGUUGGUGAGGUAAAGGCUCACCAAGGCGACGAUCAGUAGCUGGUCUGAGAGGACGACCAGCCACACUGGGACUGAGACACGGCCCAGACUCCUACGGGAGGCAGCAGUGGGGAAUUUUGGACAAUGGGCGCAAGCCUGAUCCAGCAAUGCCGCGUGAGUGAAGAAGGCCUUCGGGUUGUAAAGCUCUUUUGUCAGGGAAGAAACGGCUUGGGUUAAUACCUUGGGCUAAUGACGGUACCUGAAGAAUAAGCACCGGCUAACUACGUGCCGGCAGCCGCGGUAAUACGUAGGGUGCAAGCGUUAAUCGGAAUUACUGGGCGUAAAGCGUGCGCAGGCGGUUUUGUAAGUCUGUCGUGAAAGCCCCGGGCUUAACCUGGGAAUUGCGAUGGAGACUGCAAGGCUUGAAUCUGGCAGAGAGGGGUAGAAUUCCACGUGUAGCAGUGAAAUGCGUAGAGAUGUGGAGGAACACCGAUGGCGAAGGCAGCCCCCUGGGUCAAGAUUGACGCUCAUGCACGAAAGCGUGGGGAGCAAACAGGAUUAGAUACCCUGGUAGUCCACGCCCUAAACGAUGUCUACUAGUUGUCGGGUUUAAUUAACUUGGUAACGCAGCUAACGCGUGAAGUAGACCGCCUGGGGAGUACGGUCGCAAGAUUAAAACUCAAAGGAAUUGAC